GAACAACAGGGAUUGCCCUAGUAACGGCGAGUGAAGCGGCAACAGCUCAAAUUUGAAAUCUGGCUUCGGCCCGAGUUGUAAUUUGUAGAGGAAGAUUUAGGCGCGGCACCUUCUGAGUCCCCUGGAACGGGGCGCCAUAGAGGGUGAGAGCCCCGUAUAGUUGGAUGCCUAGCCUGUGUAAAUCUCCUUCGACGAGUCGAGUAGUUUGGGAAUGCUGCUCAAAAUGGGAGGUAAAUUUCUUCUAAAGCUAAAUAUUGGCCAGAGACCGAUAGCGCACAAGUAGAGUGAUCGAAAGAUGAAAAGCACUUUGAAAAGAGGGUUAAAUAGCACGUGAAAUUGUUGAAAGGGAAGCGCUUGUGACCAGACUUGCGCCGGGCGGAUCAUCCGGUGUUCUCACCGGUGCACUCCGCCCGGCUCAGGCCAGCAUCGGUUCUCGUGGGGGGAUAAAGGCCCUGGGAACGUAGCUCCUCCGGGAGUGUUAUAGCCCAGGGUGUAAUGCCCUCGCGGGGACCGAGGUUCGCGCAUCUGCAAGGAUGCUGGCGUAAUGGUCAUCAGCGACCCGUCUUGAAACACGGACCAAGGAGUCAAGGUUUUGCGCGAGUGUUUGGGUGUAAAACCCGCACGCGUAAUGAAAGUGAACGUAGGUGAGAGCUUCGGCGCAUCAUCGACCGAUCCUGAUGUAUUCGGAUGGAUUUUGAGUAGGAGCGUUAAGCCUUGGACCCGAAAGAUGGUGAACUAUGCUUGGAUAGGGUGAAGCCAGAGGAAACUCUGGUGGAGGCUCGCAGCGGUUCUGACGUGCAAAUCGAUCGUCAAAUCUGAGCAUGGGGGCGAAAGA
rnacentral:rRNA from 1 species